GUACUUGGCAGUACGUAUACUAAAAUUGGAAUGCUACAGAGACGGUUAGCAUGACGUCUCUGUGAGGAUGCUGUGCAAAUUCAUGCAGUGUUCCAUAUCGUU
ensembl:snRNA U6 U6 spliceosomal RNA